ACCAGACUCCUACGGGAGGCAGCAGUGGGGGAUAUUGCACAAUGGGGGGGAACCCUGAUGCAGCGACGCCGCGUGGGUGAAGAAGUACUUCGGUAUGUAAAGCCCUGUCAGCAGGGAAGAAAAUGACGGUACCUGACCAAGAAGCCCCGGCUAACUACGUGCCAGCAGCCGCGGUAAUACGUAGGGGGCAAGCGUUAUCCGGAUUUACUGGGUGUAAAGGGAGCGUAGACGGCAAGGCAAGUCUGGAGUGAAAGCCCGGGGCCCAACCCCGGGACUGCUUUGGAAACUGUGUAACUGGAGUACAGGAGGGGCAGGCGGAAUUCCUGGUGUAGCGGUGAAAUGCGUAGAUAUCAGGAGGAACACCGGCGGCGAAGGCGGCCUGCUGGACUGAAACUGACGUUGAGGCUCGAAAGCGUGGGGAGCAAACAGGAUUAGAUACCCUAGUAA
rnacentral:rRNA from 1 species